UACGAAGGGGGCUAGCGUUGCUCGGAAUCACUGGGCGUAAAGCGCACGUAGGCGGAUUGUUAAGUCAGGGGUGAAAUCCUGGAGCUCAACUCCAGAACUGCCUUUGAUACUGGCGAUCUCGAGUCCGGGAGAGGUGAGUGGAACUGCGAGUGUAGAGGUGAAAUUCGUAGAUAUUCGCAAGAACACCAGUGGCGAAGGCGGCUCACUGGCCCGGUACUGACGCUGAGGUGCGAAAGCGUGGGGAGUGAUCCGG
rnacentral:rRNA from 1 species